rnacentral:rRNA from 1 species
UACAGAGGAUGCAAGCGUUAUCCGGAAUGAUUGGGCGUAAAGCGUCUGUAGGUGGCUUUUUAAGUCCGCCGUCAAAUCCCAGGGCUCAACUCUGGACAGGCGGUGGAAACUACCAAGCUGGAGUACGGUAGGGGCAGAGGGAAUUUCCAGUGGAGCGGUGAAAUGCGUAGAGAUUGGAAAGAACACCGAUGGCGAAGGCACUUUACUGGGCUAUUACUAACACUGAGAGACGAAAGCUAGGGUAGCAAAUGGG